rnacentral:rRNA from 1 species
ACUGCCGGUGUUUAAGCCGGAGGGAAGGUGGGGAGUGACGUCAAGUCCUCAUGGCCUUUAUGUCUAGGGCUACACACGUGCUACAAUGGGUGGUACAAAGAGCAGCUAACUCGCGAGAGUAUGCAAAUCUCAAAAAGCCAUCCUCAGUUCGGAUUGGAGUCUGCAACUCGACUCCAUGAAGUUGGAAUCGCUAGUAAUCGCGGAUCAGCAUGCCGCGGUGAAUACGUUCCCGGGCCUU